rnacentral:rRNA from 1 species
GACGGAGGAUGCAAGUGUUAUCCGGAAUCACUGGGCGUAAAGCGUCUGUAGGUGGUUUAAUAAGUCAACUGUUAAAUCUUGAGGCUCAACCUCAAAAUCGCAGUCGAAACUAUUAGGCUAGAGUAUAGUAGGGGUAAAGGGAAUUUCCAGUGGAGCGGUUAAAUGCGUAGAGAUUGGAAAGAACACCGAUGGCGAAGGCACUUUACUGGGCUAUUACUAACACUCAGAGACGAAAGCUAGGGUAGCAAAUGGG